UACGAAGGGGGCUAGCGUUGCUCGGAAUCACUGGGCGUAAAGGGUGCGUAGGCGGGUCUUUUAAGUCAGGGGUGAAAUCCUGGAGCUCAACUCCAGAACUGCCUUUGAUACUGAGGAUCUUGAGUUCGGGGAGAGGUGAGUGGAACUGCGAGUGUAGAGGUGAAAUUCGUAGAUAUUCGGAAGAACACCAGUGGCGAAGGCGGCUCACUGGCCCGGUACUGACGCUGAGGUGCGAAAAGCGUGGGGGAGCAAACAGGG
rnacentral:rRNA from 1 species